rnacentral:rRNA from 1 species
AGCAGCCGCGGUAAUUCCAGCUCCGAUAGCGUAUAUUAAAGUUGUUGCAGUUAAAAAGCUCGUAGUUGAACUUCGGGGUUUACUCAUUGGUCAGGCUUAAUUGUCUGUACUGGUAAGAUGAAUCUCUACCUUCUGAGGAACUUUCAUGCCAUUUAUUUGGUGUGAUUGGAAAUCAGGACUAUUACUUUGAAAAAAUUAGAGUGUUUAAAGCAGGCUAACGUCUGAAUACAUUAGCAUGGAAUAAUGAAAUAGGACGGACUGAUUCUAUUUCGUUGGUUUCUAGGAUCACCGUAAUGAUUAAUAGGGAUAGUUGGGGGCAUUAGUAUUCAAUUGUCAGAGGUGAAAUUCUUGGAUUUAUUGAAGACUAACUACUGCGAAAGCAUUUGCCAAGGAUGUUUUCAUUAAUCAAGAACGAAAGUUAGGGGAUCGAAGACGAUCAGAUACCGUCGUAGUCUUAACCAUAAACUAUGCCGACUAGGGAUCGGACGAAGUUAAUUUAUAAUGACGCGUUCGGCACCGU